rnacentral:misc_RNA from 1 species
GUGAAAACAACUUGCAAGUUGUUUUGUUACNAACAGUGUCUUCUCAGUACUCCAUAUUCAAAAACUUUUUGGCGGAAGUUGACGGAAAAUUGAGAGAGUACUUUAAGUAAUGUUUAGAGCAAAAUUGCACGUGUCUCAUUCACAUAUAAGAAUCGAGGGAAAUAUCAUGUAAAUAAGUGUUUAUGAACGCUCUGAGCCAAUAGCAUCGCCGAUUGAAAGGUAUAUAAACACAUAAGAGCUCGUUUCUCAUANGUGUUUGUUGUCACACAGUGAGAUACAAUCUAAUUGAACCAAGCGCUGAAUACUUCACCAUUGUGGAAAAGAUAAAAGAGCGUACUAAUCACAUUCGAGAGGCACAACUCGGUUACACAUUGUUAAGACAGUCGCCGUUGACAUAAUUUCUAUAUACACACAGUAAACCAUGCCAAGUGAAGAUUAUUNCGAGAUGGAUCAUAGCGAAGAGAAUCUCAACUCGACUAAUUUUAAGAUAGAAUUCAGCCCUAAGCACGACAUCUUUCCUAUUCUCUUCGCUAUAUUGAUAAUAGCUGCAAACGCUCUGGUCCAUUUUCUGGUCGUAAAGUCAAAGCAUCUAAGGAAUACUGCAAACUACAUGUUAUGCAGUUUGGCUCUGUCGGAUCUAUUGACUGGUUUAGUCGGUAUACCAUUGUAUUUGGCCUGCAACAUCGUCCAAAAGACAACCAUCUGCGUGUUUGCUGACGCUUUUAUCCGCUUUACCUCCAUUUCUACAGUACUUCACUUGCUGACAAUUACAGCUGACCGCUACCUCGCAAUUAUACACUCCCUUCGCUACUACCUCAUCGUAACACCUCGGAGAGCCUACAUAACUUUGUCGGCUAUAUGGUUAUUUUCUAUUUUCGUUAGUUGNAUACAACUUAUCUGGAACAGCUCAACAGAGAUACAUGUACACGGAGAAGGAUUCCCCGAAAAACAGAUCCCCUAUGACAUGUUCAACCUUGUAUGCUUCUUCAUUUUACCGCUCGCUGUUACGAUCUUCGUGAAUAGUCGAAUAUUCUACGAAGUCGUUCGGCAAAGUCAUAUCAUGAGGCAAAAUAACACGCCGGGAACGGACGACANUAGAAAGAAACAAAGAAGAGAAUGGAAAGCCGCUCUGAUCUUUGCUCUUAUGUUCAUUACGUACUGUGUGUGCUGGCUGCCCUUUUUUUUAGCAACUCUUCAGCACAACAUUGGCAAUUCCUUUUUUGAAUUGACUGAAACUUUAGAGUACGUUUUCGUCUAUUCGCGAUUCGCAACCUCACUCAUUAAUCCCUGUCUGUAUGUCCUUGGUAAAAAUGAUUUUAGAAACGCGCUAAAGAGAGCAAAGAAGGAUAAAAAAAGAGGAAAUUCGAUUAGCAAAUCGUCUGUCACCAAAUAUUCUUUUCUGAAGACAUCAUCGAUGUAAACUCUAUAUCCAGNAAUCGANAAUUCUAAAAAAAACUGACGGCUAUUAANCCCAGAACUGUAAAUUAAUCCUAUAACCUUGGGCAGCUUAAAACAGCUUUCUCAGCGACACAUGAGUUCAAUUUAUUGGAAUUAAUCCUUUAUUUGAUAAAGUUAAUGAAUNUGACUUGAUUUCGACGACAUCCAAAACGAGAAGUAGCCCGAAAAUGACAGUGACGUCAAGAUCAGAUGAAUAAGGGUUUCCUGUCAUAUUAACGACUGUCUAACUGCGGAAACUCUUCUUAGAAAGAUGUAACGCUUCUUUACUUAACGUAUCAAUCUUCGCUUCACAAAUUCAAAAGCAAUAUAACUAUAUAGACUCUGGAGAUAACCGUUCGACAAAGAUCUUACCCACUGAUCGAUAGACGCCAGACUGUGCGAAAUANUCCUUUUUACGGCUCUAAUGUAGCCUNCAAGGCGCCUUAGCGAAAAUUGUUCUUUUAAGAUAUCUGGUCAUUCAACACUAAAGGUGUGACCAAAACAUANCAUUAUAAAAGGAACUGAUUACAACAUAUGAUUAUUAUAAAAAGACUUAANAUUAGCUUUCCAGCCAGAAAUUAUCGAAAAAUUGAUAUAAAUAUCUAUGCUUGCUGAUUUAAACAUUAGCCAAUAAAAGUGAUCCUUAAAAGCCUCAAAUUAAGACAAAAUAAUUAAUAGACCUUUCUCAUGAAACGAUCACAUGGUACUAAAUGCGCCAUUCCUGAUGGGAAAAAUAUUCACUGGGAUGGUCAAAACAAGGAAAAGUCGAGUUUGAAGGUCUGCGUUCCUUUCAAUUUUGAGGUUGUUUUCAUUAUUUAGCGAUUCAGUUUUGCGGAUUAAGUACUAUGUGUUCGUUUCAUACUAAAAGCCUAUUAAAGUUGAAAAAAUAAACAAGAAAACAAAAAAAUGAUUGUAUUAUAUUUCUUAGUAUAGUAUGUAUUGUCAGUAUAAUUACUGNAUAAUAAAUAAUGUGUAUACUCCAUGCUAAUGAAAGAUCGCAUAGCCUGACAUUAAGCUAAAAAUCCCAGCUCAUCUAAGCACAAGCGAAUUCCUGUUAAAGUAUGAAUAAUUGAUCACAUUCAAACANCUCUUGGAUUGUGAUGAAAACGUUUAUCGAUCUGGAAAACAUGUCNUCAACAUUAACUCCCUCCAAAAGAAAACUUAUAUUUAGCCUAAUCUACUCGUCUAGCUUUGCUUGCAUCUUUUGAAUUAUCGAGUUUCGACAUAACGUUGGUGGCCAAAUUAAAACUGACGUUUUGACAAUGCAGGCUAGUUAAUUUUUCUCUGAUAAAGUAAGAAAAAUAUAAAAAACAUUAAGUCAUAGGAUAAAGUAUUAUACUACUCAUAUAGAUAUUUAAGCUUNAGCUAUGGCGAACUACGCCAAAAAAAGAAAGAAAUAUUGUAUUAAGGUUCUUUGAUGAGUAGAAAAAUAUUAAAUCAAUGGAAAAGUAAUGACUGUUUUGAACAGAAAAAAUCUUAUUUUAAUGUGUAGUAGAAUGUGUACGUGCGUAAGUCGAAGUAAGUUAUCAGAUUCAGACGUAUAAGUACAUUCAAGAUUAUGAUUCAGAAGUGUUUGAUCCCCAUAAGCUC